CAGUCGCCGCGGGAAUACGAAGGGUGCAAGCGUUACUCGGAAUUACUGGGCGUAAAGCGUGCGUAGGUGGUGGUUUAAGUCCGUUGUGAAAGCCCUGGGCUCAACCUGGGAAUUGCAGUGGAUACUGGAUCACUAGAGUGCGGUAGAGGAUAGUGGAAUUUCCGGUGUAGCAGUGAAAUGCGUAGAGAUCGGAAGGAACAUCUGUGGCGAAGGCGACUAUCUGGGCCAACACUGACGCUGAGGCACGAAAGCGUGGGGAGCAAACAGGAUUAGAUACCCCCGUAGUCCCUGUCUCUUAUAC
rnacentral:rRNA from 1 species